GCAUAUUUACAACUCUCCUAAGCACGAGCUAAAUUUUCAUAGCCCUGGCAUGUCCAUCUGUUGCGAUGUCCAUCUUCCCCCCACUGUUUACUGUGGACACACCCUAGGCCCCUCGACUGGAGUGACCUGUACCUUGGGAAGCACAAACCUGUGGAAACAUGUCUGUAUCCAACCAAGGCUGGCCCAGCUGGAGAUGGCAAAAAUGAAGUUGUGUUUUCCCUUCUCUAAGGAAGAACUGCUUCCCAGGGACAGGGCCAUUUCAGAGAGAGAACUGACAGUCAACUCUCUGUAAAAUCUGAGCAGGUAGAGUUUUACAUGCUACAGUUCUUGGGUCACUCAAGCCUGCUGUGAUGCUCUGCUGCUGCCCAGGCUGGAGGACUGACUUCCAACUGAAUUUCAACCAGUUUGAAAAGAUGGUAAGCAUUUGCUUCUGCUGUAGGUCAGUUCUAAGACUUGCGUGCUACUCCCCACCCCCACAUCUUAAUACAGAGCUGGCAUGAGUGUGACAACUGACGCUAU
rnacentral:lncRNA from 1 species